CAGUAUAAAAACUAGAACCGCAACAUAUCUUAAAAGCAUAAGUAUUGUAUCAUUGUUAGAAGAUACAAUGACGAAGACUCAUAUGGACUUCGACUACACUAUCAAAGCUUUGAGAAGCAAGAAGCAGCUUGGUUAGUGUUUUGGAGUCGAAUAUGACUUGAUGUCAUGUGUAUGAGUAAGUAUAAAAACUAGAACCGCAACGGAUCUUAAAAGCCUAAAUAUUGUAUCCUUGUUAGAAAAUACAUAGACAAAGACUCAUACAGAAUUCGGCUAAACCAUCAAAGCUUUUAGAAGCAAGAAGAAGCUUGGUUAGUGUUUUGGAGUGAAAUAUGACUAGAUGUCAUGUGUAUGAGUGAGUAUACCAACUAGAACCACAAUUGGAAUUUUAAAAGCCUAAGUAUUGUAUCCUUGUUAGAAGAUACAAAGACAAACACUCAUACGGACUUUGGCUACAUAAUCAAAGCUUUGAGAAGCAAGAAGAAGCUUGGUUAGUGUUUUGGAGUCGAAUAUGACUUGAUGUGAUGUGUAUGAUUAAGUAUAAGAAAUUAAACCACAACCGGAUCUUAAAAGCCUAAGUAGUGUUUCCUUGUUAGAUGA
rnacentral:sRNA from 1 species